rnacentral:rRNA from 1 species
GACGAACCGUGCGAACGUUGUUCGGAAUCACUGGGCAUAAAGGGCGCGUAGGCGGCUUAUCAAGUCAGGGGUGAAAUCCGGCAGCUCAACUGUCGAAGUGCCUUUGAUACUGAUGAGCUCGAGGGAGGUAGGGGUAUGUGGAACUUCCGGUGGAGCGGUGAAAUGCGUUGAUAUCGGAAGGAACGCCGGUGGCGAAAGCGACGUACUGGACCUCUUCUGACGCUGAGGCGCGAAAGCUAGGGGAGCAAACGGG